AUACGUAGGGUGCAAGCGUUAAUCGGCAUUACUGGGCGUAAAGCGUGCGCAGGCGGUUUUGUAAGACAGAGGUGACAUCCCCGGGCGCAACCUGGGACCUGCCUUUGUGGCUGCAAGGCCAGAGGACGGCAGAGGGGGCUGGCAUUCCGCGUGUAUCAGUGGAAUGCGUAGAUAUGCGGAGGAACACCGAUGGCGAAGGCAAUCCCCUGGGCCUGUACUGACGCUCAUGCACGAAAGCGUGGGGAGCAAACAGGAUUAGAUACCCUGGUAGUCCACGCCCUAAACGAUGUCAACUGGUUGUUGGGUCUUCAUUGACUCAGUAACGAAGCUAACGCGUGAAGUUGACCGCCUGGGGAGUACGGCCGCAAGGUUGAAACUCAAAUGAAUUGACGGGG
rnacentral:rRNA from 1 species